UAGUAUUGUUUUUAAGUGGCUUUGUGGCAUUUGAAAUACUGUCUACUAUGAUGAGAACCCUAUUAAACCUUAAUUCCUUUCUUAGAGGCCUCCAAAUCUAGCCACACUGGGGCUUCCAGGUGGAGGUGUGGGCAGGAGGCUUCAGCUGGUGACAAAGGGUGAUAAUCAGCCUCUGAAAACAGACUCUCGCAUGCCCUCAAUUUGAGUGGGGGCCCCAGCAAUCCUUUCUCUAUUUCUUGGGUUGAUGGACAAAAGGCGUAUCCCCAGGAUUUUAAUCUUCAUUCACCACUCCUUCCAAGCCUCCACCUUUUUGUUUGUGUGUGUGCUAAGGUAAGACCCCACACUGUGCUUUUCAGCGGCAGCAAAUCUAUGAUUCUUCAUAUGCAGGGAUCCCUCCAAUGCUAAGGAGGAGAUUAAAAUAUCUCGGACCAGCAGUGUGCCUGGCAGGGGCUGCCUGUGUGUCCCAACCCCCAGUCAGCAGGAGCAGCACGUGUUGGUGACUUCUUCAGAGCUAAUGUUAAAAAGUGAACUCACAGGCCCUGAAAAGAGAUACGUAUAUAAGCAAUUGAAAAGAAAAGAGUUGAUUUGUGGCAAAACAGGGCACGUUUUUACGCCAAAGCCAAAUGUUCAUUUUACUCAGCACCCUCGUGUUCCUCUGUAUCUGUACCUAAACACACACACACGCACAUGCACACACACACACACACACACACACACACGUGUCCUGUGUGUGUGGGAACAUGCACACAAUCUUCGUAUUUGAUACACAUAAAACAUAGACACAACCCAAUCCAAACUAGCUGUUGGGAUUCAAGUCCAAGACUAGAACAUGAGACCCUCCAGACAUGUGAACAUAAAUGCAGAGCAGAAAUUCAACAAGAUGAUACCCCCCCUUCCCCCACCUCCACUGUGUGUAAUCCUUUCUCUCUCAUAUUUUUAUAUAUUUUACACCCGUGGAUCUUGAUGAACUUAAGCCCGGGCAUUGUACAGAUUCCAGAUUUCAAAUGAAUAACUCUUUCAUUUAGUUAAUAGCUGCAGCAGAGCCAUAAAGCCGUAAUAGUUUAUGACUUUCAGGAUAUAACCUGCAACCACAGACAAUAUAAAUUAUAUUACAUUGCACUUUAUAGCCGUAUGAAGCACACACAAGACCUCGCCGCUGGUGUGAAGGCUGGGGAGUGGGGGUGGGGUGUAAUGAGUUGUUUGUUUGUUUGUUUGUUUGUUUGUUUGUUUUCCUUCUUGGCUAAAAAACACCUUCAUCCUAUGACCCAGCAAGCCUUCAUUCUGACCGGAGGCCUCCACAGCCGCUGUGCCGAAUGCCAUUGCGACCACAAAAGAAAGCUGUUGAUAAAGGAUCGAGUUCUGGUCGUGGACCUGUUUGGGGUCCAAGAUGCCUGUGCCCCUCUUGUGCCCCCCUCUCCCAGAGGAGGGGAUGAUCACCCUUCUCCGUGAGGUUCCGGCUGUGUAACCGAGCCAACGUGAGUUCUCUCCGAGGUGAGUCGUAAAAACACACCAGGUGUACGUCAUAGAGAUUUGAUAUUUCCAUACGUCAUGAGAUGAUCCCAGUGAGAAGUCUAGUUACCACCUGUCAUCGUACCAAAUGAUUACUAUAUGAGUGACCAUAUUUCCUCCGUUGUACCUCACAUCCCAUGUCUUCCCUAUUUUGUUGGUGGAAGUCUGUGACCUCUUAAUUCCCUCACCCAUUUUGUAGGGAAAGGGGACUAGUAAAAUUAGACCCCGAUGAUAAGGCAUGAGAAGGAAAUAUGUUUCAAAUGCACGUCUGCAUGGGAGGGGCUCCUACAUAAAAACCAUGUUAUGAAAAGGGCCCACAGAACAAACGUGUGUCCUUGGAGAGUCUGGUUGCUUUAAGUUAAGAGCACAUCUGGGGGUUUUCUGCACAUACUGGAGUCAAUUAUAUCUUAUCUCUAUAUGGAGUCAUUCAACAAGCACACCCUGUUCUCGGUCAUGCCUAUGACCCUUGCCAUGGCUCGUGUGGCAGUGUCUGUAGACCAGCAUUCAGGAAAGGCCACCCAAGCCACCAGCGUGCACGGAGCUUACCCUAGAACUACCUCUCCACUAUCGACAGAGAGGAUCUCAGGCCAACUCACAGAGGAACAAAAGUGCUCAAUAAAUACUUACUCUCAUUUGUAACCUC